rnacentral:lncRNA from 1 species
GAAAAUGAGCUGCUUCACUCCAAGAUUCCUCAGUUCCUUUGUGUGUCAGAGUGGACUGUGAAUCCCUGUAGAUAUUUUGUAAGUGGUGGGAGAUGGGAUAUAGUAUAUGUCUCACAAUUACUCCUAAAAAUUAUUGCACAUAAAAUCUUUUAAAAUUUUUUUCUCAGGGCCCUGAGUUCAAUCCCUGGUACAAAAAAAAAUCUCUAAUAAUCAUUUUUCACUGAAAAUAUUUUCAGAAAUAGGGCCCAUGCUUUAUUCUUGCCCCCACCAUCCACUUAAUAUUGUAGCCAUGUUCACGGCUAUUUUGCCCGGAGACACUGACAUAGGGAUUCCAGCUCUGAGGGAAUGUGAAAUUUGGUAGAUAAGGAGCAGGGCAGAGGCUGGGUCCUUAGUUGUGAUCAUGGUAAGAACAUACAAUUGCCCCUGAGAAGUUGCUUGAGAACAGUAAAAUCCCAAUCCUUCCACAGAGUUGAGGGGAACUUAAAACAUUGAAGGUAGAAAUCCCCAAACAGAAGACAUAAAUUACCUGACAUCUGCAACCACAGACUGCUUAUAAAAUUUGGAGAAGGCAGAUGUUGUGUAAACAAAGUUUACCUGAAAAAUAAAAUGAAAGUAUCCUAAUUCUUUCAAGCUUGGCUUCCUAUCACAGUACUCUGUGUGUUGCAGGGCCACACUCUGACAGCCAGCAAGGAGAAAAGCAAGCCUCAAACUCAGACAUUAUCAAAAUUAAUCAAGAUAAAUCCCUACGUCCUGCAGCAAUCCUUGGAUUACCUACUUUUAUUCUGCUGUUUAAGAAUAAUCGGUUAUGCCCAUUUAUUUCUCUCUUUAAAGAAUCUAGUCAAGUUUAACAUCCAUGCUUUGCCCACUCCAAUUAUUGUCUCCAGAGUUAACAAACCAAACUCAUUUAAGCACAUUUUUCAUAGAUUUGAUGAAACCUCUUUUCAGUAUUUGAUUAUUUUUCAAGGACACAUUUUCAUAUUAGCCACUAGAGGGCGAAGCACACCAUUCCCCUUCAAAACAGUCUCUCUUUUGGAAAUAUGCAGCCCCUUUAAAACACUGUGCCUUUUUUGCUCUCUUAGCAUUUCUAAAACCAAGCUCAUUCUCUUCUCCCAAGUUUUCUCCUCUGUUGCCUCUCCUACAUAAUAGCAAAACCACCUACUUAGUCGCCCAAGGUUGGAAAAAAGUACCUCAAAAAAUUAUAUGGCACAAUGGUAAAAAUAAGAGCUCUGAAGUUUAAAGUCACUAUGCAACAUAUUACCUAAAUCUGCUGGGCCACCAUUGCUCUUUGUUUUGUUUGUUUUUUCCUCUGUAAAGGAGCGAUCAAAAUGCCUGCCUCCUUGGGAUAAUUUGAGGAAUAAUUGGUGCACAAGUAUCAGAGAUGAAGCAAUUUGUAAAGUACCUAGUGUCCAGAAGGCAGUCAGUAAAUAAGGGCCACUGUGACUGCUUGCUGUCUCUCUCUCUCCCUUCCUCAUCCUACACUACACGGUGGCUGUGCAUUGCCUCUGCUGGGCUACCCCCUCCAUUUUGUAGAAAUAAAAUUGGCAGAAACUUUCUACUUGGCAAUGUGUGCCAUAAGCCCUGAAUAGAUAUAUUUCUAUUGAACAAGGAAUUACACUUUAAAGAAAUCACCUAAGAAAGUAAUUAGAGAUGCACACAAUUUAUGUGUUAUAAAAAAUACUGUAUUUUCCGUUGUUGCAAAAAAUGGAAACAGCUUAAACACCCAAUAAAAAAGGAUUUGGUAACUCAGAGGCAAUUAGAAUUUGUGUUUUAAAAAGAAUAUUUAAUAACACAGAAACAUGCAAAGUAAUGUUAAGAGAAAAAAAGUCAAAUUGUAAAACUGAAUUGUCACUAAAAUUCCAGUAUGCAUUAUCCUCUAUGUCUAUGUAGUCCAGAAUAAAAAGGGGCUUUAUCUCUAGUGAUGAC